AAGCAGGGAUCUUCGGACCUUGUGCUAUGAGAUGAGCCCGCGUCGGAUUAGCUAGUUGGUGGGGUAAAGGCCUACCAAGGCGACGAUCCGUAGCUGGUCUGAGAGGAUGAUCAGCCACACUGGAACUGAGACACGGUCCAGACUCCUACGGGAGGCAGCAGUGGGGAAUAUUGCACAAUGGGCGAAAGCCUGAUGCAGCCAUGCCGCGUGUGUGAAGAAGGCUCUAGGGUUGUAAAGCACUUUCAACAAGGAGGAAAGGUUGUAAGUUAAUACCUUGCAGCUGUGACGUUACUUGCAGAAGAA
rnacentral:rRNA from 1 species